rnacentral:lncRNA from 1 species
GAAAUCACCACGACCUUGGCUAAGCCCCCCUCUGGAGAUGGAGUACUCACCUUCAGCCAGCAGCUCCGGACCUGGAGGUGCUCCCCAAAGCAGCCCUCAGGACAGUCUGCAGUGCCCUGGGGUCACCAAAGCAUCCCAGCCACUGUGCCUCACAGCCUCUGUGAAAAUGAGCCACGACAGCCCAACCACCUGGGUCUUCAGAGCUUCUUGCCUGCUUGGCGUUGCCCUCUGUGAUUGGCAGAAGAAUGCCCCCCAAAGAUAUUCAGGUCCUAAUCCCUGGAACCUGCAAACAUUCCCUUAUAUGGCAACAGAGACUUUGCAGAUGUGAUUAAGUUCAGGUUCUUGAGAUUAAGGGAGAUUAUCCCACAUUAUCUGAGAGGUCCCUAAAUGUAAUCACAAGUGUCCUUCUAAGAGGGAGGUGGAGGGAGAUUUGGUGAAAGAAGACGGACACUGAGCACUGAAGCCAGGAGCAUGGCUUGGAAGCCGGAGGAGGUGAGGAUGGGCUCUCCCCAGAGUCUCUGGAAGGUACAAGUCCCUGCCGCCGCCUUGGUGUCAGCCCAGGGAGGCUGAUUUUGGACUCCUGGAUUCAAGACUGUUAGAGAAUAAAGGUGUGUGAUUUUAAGCCACCGCAUUGGUGGUUAUUGUUACAGCGGCUGCGGGAAGAAGACACACCUGCCCAGGGCCCCUCCUUGCUCUCAGCUCACCUGGAUAGCUGAGCUCCUCCUCCAGGGCUCACGGCCUCUGCUGACCUCCUGGACCCAGCCAUCAUCUUCCCUGGCACACUGCUGACAUCUCACCAUCUGGUGGAGAACUUCUGGGCAUCUGUCUCUGAACUUGACAAUGACACUGCCCCCACCCCAAACGCCAAGCAAAGCUUCCAUCGCGGUGCCCUCGUGGGUGUCUUCAUCCCCCUGGACUCACAUCAGCCAGAGAAAUCCUGGUUAUUCCUGAAUCUGCAGUGACAGUUUUUACACAAGCAAGGGGCAGGUGCUGGUGCAGGACAUGAAGCCUGUGGCCAGACAGUGCACAACAGGAACCUUUUACUCCACCACUGCCACUGAGGUGUGAGUCCCCACCAUGCCCCACAGACUGUAGCUGCUUGGAUAUCUCCCAGGCCCUUCAUGCAGGGGAGGGUGUCCGCUGCUGCCUUCCAUACGGGUCUGUCUCCUGGACACAGUGUGGGUGUGGAAGGAUGCAGAGUGUUUCUGGAGGUGAAAAUGGAAGACAUCCGGCACCAAAAUUAUUUACUCAUUCACUCAACAAACAUUAAUUGGCAUCCAUGCAAGCCUA